rnacentral:rRNA from 1 species
AUUGAACGCUGGCGGCAGGCUUAACACAUGCAAGUCGAACGAUGAAACUCUAGCUUGCUAGAGAUGAUUAGUGGCGGACGGGUGAGUAACAUUUAGGAAUCUGCCUAGUAGUGGGGGAUAGCUCGGGGAAACUCGAAUUAAUACCGCAUACGACCUACGGGUGAAAGGGGGCGCAAGCUCUUGCUAUUAGAUGAGCCUAAAUCAGAUUAGCUAGUUGGUGGGGUAAAGGCCCACCAAGGCGACGAUCUGUAACUGGUCUGAGAGGAUGAUCAGUCACACCGGAACUGAGACACGGUCCGGACUCCUACGGGAGGCAGCAGUGGGGAAUAUUGGACAAUGGGGGCAACCCUGAUCCAGCCAUGCCGCGUGUGUGAAGAAGGCCUUUUGGUUGUAAAGCACUUUAAGCAGGGAGGAGAGGCUAAUGGUUAAUACCCAUUAGAUUAGACGUUACCUGCAGAAUAAGCACCGGCUAACUCUGUGCCAGCCGCCGCCGUAAGAC